CCGAGUUAUACAACUCAUCAACCCUGUGAACAUACCUAUAACGUGCCUCGGCGGGAACAGACGGCCCCGUAACACGGGCCGCCCCGCCAGAGGACCCCCUAACUCUGUUUCUAUAAUGUUUCUUCUGAGUAAACAAGCAAAUAAAUUA
rnacentral:misc_RNA from 1 species